rnacentral:tRNA from 1 species
UCCCUAGUGGCUCGAACGGUAAAGCGUCUGCCUGCAAUGCAGAAGACCCGGGUUCAAUCCCUGGGUCGGGAA